CACAGCGACUGACGCGGGCUGGUAUAUAAAUACCCCAGCUCCCCUGCCCUCAGCUGGGCCAGGAUAAAAGCCAAGGAGCUAGGAGGAGCUGUUGGGUUCUGGAUCAUUUUGCAGGCAGAGCCCAUAGGACUUGCCGAUGGAUUGGAUGUGGGUGGGAGAGAGUGAGGGGUCAAGGGGACCUCCAAGGCUUGGGGCCUCAGCCACUGGCUGCUGGGAGGGCUCCUUACAGAGAACAUAUAUAAUCCUCACCAUAGUUCUCUUUUCGUGUUUUUCUUUUUCUUUUUUUUUCUUUUUUUCUCAGGUGAAAGACUCUGAGGUCUGGGGGUGCUUAGGGCCAGGCCUCAUGGUCAGAGAGAGAGGCAUACCUGGGAUUUGAAUCUGAUGUCGUGAUGAGUGCUGGGAACCACCACACGGAGAUGAUUUCCAACUUCCGUGCAACAUGAAAAGGGAAAAAAACUUCAGUCCAACCAGAGAGCUCACAGAAGGCUUCCUGGAGGAGGUGGUGCCUGAGCUAAGCCUUGCAGGAGGACAAAGAGCCCACCAGGUGUGGAAACAAGAAUCAAUAUGUAACAGCCACCUAGACUGGGCUGUUACUACGAGCCAAGCACCAUUCUAAACACAUGUUGACGAUAGCUUGUUAUCUUACUGGCUUGUUAUAUUGCGAAUGAGACCCAUGCUUGGGUGAAGUCAUUUAGUAGGGUGUAACCAGCAUUUAAAACAUGAAAUGAAAUAUAAUAGAAAAUAUCAGAAUGCAUUACUCAUAGCAAUAAUUGUUAUCUUAUGACACUUGUCUUUCAGUGACUGGUGGUGUGUGGAUAUACGGACAUACUGGGUCAUGAUAUGAAAUGCAAUUCUUACUGUGGGUCAUGAUUUUAAAAGCUCAGAAGCCACUGGAUUUACUCAUUUAAUCCUCACAACAACGCUAUGAGGUAGGUCUUAUUGUUAUCCCCCUUUUAAUGGGAAAACGAAAGCUCAAAGAGGUCAAGUCCCCUGAAAAACUCAUGGUGAACGUUUGCUUACUCUGUGCCAGGCACUGUUCUAGGCGUUUGGCGUGAACAGCUCAUUUGUUGUUCACAGCACUCUUACGAGGGAGAGUCUACAGUGACUCCAUUUACAGAGGAGGACGCUGAAACACACAAAUGGGAAGUCACUUUGCAAAGGCACAUGGCUAGUAAGCGAAGGAGCAGGGGUUUGAAUGCAGGCGGUUCCGGUUUCAGAGCCUGCACGAGCACCAGGCAGAGAACGGCACAGGCACAGGUGUGGAGGUGGGCUUUUAGAAGACCUGGCCUUCAAAUCACAGAUAUGUAGACUAAUGGACCUCAGCAGCCCUUACAUGUCCUGGUGGAGGUAAAAAAAAACCCGGUGCAGAAGCGCGGUUCCUAGCCGCCUCUCUCCACCUUUGCUUGUACCUGAGAGAUGUCGCAGGGCUAGAGAGGCAGCGUGGAAGGAGAUGAGCUCCUGGAUCACAGAGAGUGGUGCGAAUCCUAGCUUGGCCCUUUGCUUCUACGUGACCACAGGCUGUGGAUGUCACCUCUCCAAGCCUCAGUCUCCCCACUUGUGCAAGGGGGGUGGUGCUUAGAGCAUCUUGUUUCUCGUGCUGUUGUGAAAUCCCCCAGCGUUUGGUCCAUAGGGAGGGCUCAGUAAAUUGGAGCCACUCACUCAUGCUUCCCGUGUUUACGCUGGCUGGUCUCUCUGCACGAGCACUUUCCCCAACUCUUCACCUGGCACACUCCCGCUCAGGCUUCAGGUCCCAGCUCAGAUAUCCCCGCCUUUGGCAUCUCCCUCCAUCUUUUCUGCCCUUCUUCCUUUAGUCACAGAAUCCUACAUUUUAUCUAGGUAUAUGGUUGCCCAGGAUAAAGCCUACAUUUUCAGCUUCUCUUAUAGCUAAGUAUGACCAUGUGACUAGUUCCCAGCCAAUGGGAUGUGAGCAACCUCUGUGUUGGGCCAUAAGAGGAAGGCAUCCUCCCUCCCCUUCUCCUCUCCUGUUAUGUUGGUUGGAAUGCAAACGUGAUGGGAGCUCUCUUGGGUCCCCCAGGCAGGAUAGAACCUAGUGAGGACAGAACAAUUAGAAGGAGCCUGGGUCCCACCACCCUGAAGCCACCGCAUCAUCCCUACACUGUUCAUGCCAGACAACUACGUGAGAGAGAGAAAUUUCUAUCUUAUUUAAGACACUGUUGUUUUGGGUCUUUAUUAGCACACCAGAAUCUGAACCCUAACUAUUAUAGGACUGAACUGUGCUCCUACCCUCCCCGCCCCCACCACUCCAAAUUCAUAUGAAGUGCUAAUGCCCAGUACCUCAGAAUGGGACUGUAUUUGGUGAUAGGGCCUUUAAUGGGGCGGUGAGGGUGGGCCCUAAUACAAUCUGACUGAUGUCCUUAUAAAGAGAGACUAGGACACACAGGGAGACACCAGGGGUGCACACAAAGAAGGAAGGUCAUGUGAGGACACAGUGAGAAGGCAGUCAUCUGCAAGCCAAGGAGAGAGGCCUCAGAAGAAACCACGCCUGCCCACACCUUGAUCUUGGACUUCCAGCCUCCAGAACUGUGAGAAAUAGAUUUCUGUUUUUUAAGCCUCCCAGCAUGUGGUAUUUUGGAGUGGCAGCCCUAGUAGAUUAAUACGUCUCUAAACUACCUUCUAAGGACGAUGGCUCUGGUUAACCUCAGGGCUUGUUUUUUCUGGUUCAGGUGUGAAAGUGCAAGUCCAGAGCUGGAUAGCUCAUAAGAACAGAGGUGAGGGCUUCCCUGGUGGCGCAGUGGUUGAGAGUCCGCCUGCCGAUGCAGGGGACGCGGGUUCGUGCUCCGGUCCGGGAGGAUCCCACAUGCCGCGGAGCGGCUGGGCCCGUGAGCCAUGGCCGCUGAGCCUGCGCGUCCGGAGCCUGUGCUCCGCAAGGGGAGAGGCCCGCCUCCUGCAAAAAAACCCCGAAAAAGCAAACAAAAAAACCAGAGGUGAGUUCUGAAGGCUACCACCAGAGACCCUUGGCCUUCCCCAAGUGAUAAUGAACAAAUAUUUAAUGAAUAUCUGUUGGAAAGUGUGAUAGAUGACAAAGAAAUAGCCAGGAGACUUUGCAACUUUUCUCACCAAGAGGCGGAGCCUAGUUCCCUCCCGUUGGAGCAAAGCCGGUCAUGUGACUCGCUUUGGCCAAUAAAAACGUGGCAGAAGCGAUGGCGUGCGCGUUCUGAGCCGGGGCCUCGGGAGGCCUUGAAGCUUCUGCUCUUGUUUCUCAUCCUUUGCUGAGUGAACAAGCCUAGGCUAUCCUGCUGGAGGAUGAGAAGCCUCGUGGCCCAAUUACUCCCACUACGCCAGCUGCCAGCCAGGCCACUGCCAGACAUGGGAAGGAGGCCAUCCUGGACCAGUGCCUACGCAAUCCCUUCCCCCAACUGGCUGCAGAAACGCGAGGACAAGGGGUGAUAUUCACUGAGAUCUUAAAUCUCCACCCGGUUGCUGGUAGAAAAAUACGUGCGAAGAAACCAGACGUCAUCUGGACCUUCUUCUGCAAAGCAGGCCCUACCUACGCAGGGGAAAGGCCAGAAGUGGAUUUCCCCGUGGAUGUAGGAAGCUGAAGAGAAAAUGUCCCAGGGGUUUUGGGUUGUGGAUUCGUUUGCUCACCAUGGGAGCCUUCCCCCUUCUGACGUGCCUUCCAGUACCACAGCUAAAACUACACUUCCUCACUCCCCUUGAAGCCAUAUUUCUGUCAAUCUGACAUACUUGCAUGAGAUUUGGAAAGUGAAAGUGAAAUGGAGGUUCUGCUUAUGAUGCUUCUGCCAUGAAUUUUGGCAAGCACAGUCACGGACGGGCUGCUCUUUUUUUCCUGAGGUACCACAAGUGACUGGCUUUGUGCGUUUUGAGAGGCUCUCAUCUCUGUGAAUCCAGCAAAUGUGACGUGGUUCUGGAGCUGACAAUUCCAGUACAGGCCUACUCGUUUUAUUGCGCUUCAUAGAUAUUAUGUUUUUCACAAAUUGAAGGUUGACAGCCCUGUGUUGAGCAAGUCAAUUGGUGUCAUUUUCCAACAGCAUUUGCACACUUGUGUCUCUUGUGUCACAUUUUGGUAAUUCUCACAAUAUCUCAAACUUUCUCGUUAUUAUAUUUGUUAUGGAGAUCUGUGAUCGGUGAUCUUUGAUGUUGCUACUACAACUGGCUGAAGGCUCAGAUGAUGGUUAGCACUUUUUAGCAAUAAUGUAUUUUUAAAUUAAGGUGUGUGCAUUUUUUUUAGACAUAAUGCUAUUGCACACUUAAUAGACUCCAGUAUAGUGUAAACAUAACUUCUAUAUGCACUGGGAAACCAAGAAAUUCCUGUGACUUGCUUUAGUGUGAUAUUCCCUUUAUUACAAUGGUCUGGAACUGAACGUGUAAUAUCUGUAUGCCUGUAGUAACAGCUUUUUGAUUCCCCACCUUUCUGUGAUGGUGGAGGCAGCAGCUCCCGCGGUGGGUCAGUUCUGCAGUUUCAGUUCUGCGGUUGUGGGGUCUGAUAGAGUCAGCUUCCUUUACCUUUUCCAUCAGAGGGCACCCAGCUGUCUUUCUCUGGCAUGGGUCUAUCCCUUUCAGCCAAUUUAAAUUAAUCCAAUCUUAAGUCAAAUAAUAUGCACAAGAAUGUCACAGCACCAGAUCUAUCCUCCCGAUAUAUAUAAAACACAAGUGAAAUAG